GGAGAAACAACAUGAAACACCAAAUAGUGUGUGUGAAAAUUCUGGCGGUGCUGUGCUUGAGUUAAAUAGAUUGUAGCUAGUUUGAGUUUCUUUUAACUUUAUAUUAAUUUUGAAAAUAACUCACCUUUUUAGGCAUUCUUAAGAAAACAAGUAAACUGGUAUUUAAGACUUGUAUCAAAAGCUAUGUAUGAACCGGGUAAAAGAGGUACUACACGUUCUAGAUAUGUUGUUUAUACCAGGAGUUGUCGAUGGGAGCUUGCCCCAGGCACACUUAGUCUGGAGCAAUGUUAUUUCUCUCAGACCUACAAGUAGAAGAAAUGUUAACCACUGCAAGCUUAAAGUAGCAGUAAGCUUGCAAACCUUAGUACUGUAUGGGAGCCAUAUUCCCUACAAGUGGCACAAAGGCUGAGCACUUACACACCAAAAGUUUUUUGGUACGUUGUUACCUAAUUCCGUGUUAAAAACGUAGUUCGUGUGUUUUGGGUGGUCAAGGUGUGUGUGUGGAAGAGACAAACCUGAAAGCACUGUGGGGUCAGAGCUGAGUGUUUUCUUCCCAUUUGUUUCUAUACCUGUCACUCUCCUACAUGCAAAGGUUGAAUGACAAAAGAACCAAACACCUGGGUAUAGCUCACUGAGACAUUUUUCUUCUCUGGGUAUCUGUUAAUUAUCAGUUAGGGACCACUGUUAGCAUAUGGUGUUUCAUAGUAUCACUUAAGAUCUCCAUUUUAAAAAGAUAGAGGCACAAUUUCAAGCUUUCAUGUUCUCAUUUGGCAAUAACUGGUUUUAGUAUCUGUCUUGGUCGAAAUAGUUGACGUUGUGUGGUGCUGAUAACAUGGCCUAAAGCAGACCUUACAUACAGAAACUCUUUUGAUCUCCAGACAAAUAAUUAAUAUAUUAGAAGGUAGUGUAACCUAGGGAGAGAAAAGGUGUGGGACUGAAAAUUCCACCCUUAACAGGAAUAAUUCUUGGUCACUGAAAUUACUCUCAGAGAAAAACAUGGUUAUAAAAAGGGAGCUAUGCUUUAUGUGUGUUUUAUGCUUAAGACUUUGAUUCUUGCUUUAUUUGGGUUUCCUUGACGUCACCUAGGUAGAGUUUCCUGGAUGAUUAGUCUUUCUUUAAUCUUCAAAAAUAUGAUCUUUGUAAAGCAAGGAGACAUUGUCCAAAAUAUGACUCUGAUGUCAGAACUCUGAAGUCUGUGAAAAAGUAGUAACUGUUCCAUUGACAUUGUGGUUUAGUGGCCGUAAAUAUGCCUGUAGAUUCCACUAUGAAUACUCCUUUUUAAAAAGAAAUAAGCUACCUACCAGUCUGUGGCAGAGUUCUCUGACUAUCUAAUAAAGGUUUCUACUAGUAGUUAUUAUUUUGAAAA
rnacentral:lncRNA from 1 species